AGUCGAGCGGUAGCACAGGGGAGCUUGCUCCCUGGGUGACGAGCGGCGGACGGGUGAGUAAUGUCUGGGAAACUGCCUGAUGGAGGGGGAUAACUACUGGAAACGGUAGCUAAUACCGCAUAACGUCGCAAGACCAAAGAGGGGGACCUUCGGGCCUCUUGCCAUCAGAUGUGCCCAGAUGGGAUUAGCUAGUAGGUGGGGUAAUGGCUCACCUAGGCGACGAUCCCUAGCUGGUCUGAGAGGAUGACCAGCCACACUGGAACUGAGACACGGUCCAGACUCCUACGGGAGGCAGCAGUGGGGAAUAUUGCACAAUGGGCGCAAGCCUGAUGCAGCCAUGCCGCGUGUGUGAAGAAGGCCUUCGGGUUGUAAAGCACUUUCAGCGAGGAGGAAGGUGGUGAACUUAAUACGUUCAUCAAUUGACGUUACUCGCAGAAAGAAGCACCGGCUAACUCCGUGCCAGCAGCCCGCGGUAAUACGGAGGGUGCAAGCGUUAAUCGGAUUUACUGGGCGUAAAGCGCACGCAGGCGGUUUGUUAAGUCAGAUGUGAAAUCCCCGGGCUCAACCUGGGAACUGCAUUUUGAAACUGGCAAGCUAGAGUCUCGUAGAGGGGGGUAGAAUUCCAUGGUGUAGCGGUGAAAUGCGUUAGAGAUCUGGAAGGAAUACCCGGUGGCCGAGGGCGGCCCCCUGUACGAAGACUGAACGCUCAGGUGCGAAACGCGUGGGGAAGCAAA
rnacentral:rRNA from 1 species